AUUCCAGCUCCAAUAGCGUAUAUUAAAGUUGUUGCGGUUAAAAAGCUCGUAGUUGGAUUUCUGCUGAGGAUGACCGGUCCGCCCUCUGGGUGAGUAUCUGGCUCAGCCUUGGCAUCUUCCUGAAGAACGUAUCUGCACUUGACUGUGUGGUGCGGUAUUUAGGACAUUUACUUUGAGGAAAUUAGAGUGUUUCAAGCAAGCGCACGCCUUGAAUACAUUAGCAUGGAAUAAUAAGAUAGGACCUCGGUUCUAUUUUGAUGGUUUCUAGAGCUGAGGUAAUGAUUGAUAGGGAUAGUUGGGGGUGCUAGUAUUGGCCGGCCAGAGGUGAAAUUCUUGGAUUCGGUCAAGACUAACUUAUGCGAAAGCAUUCACCAAGGACGUCUUCAUUA
rnacentral:rRNA from 1 species